rnacentral:rRNA from 1 species
GAUGAACGCUAGCUACAGGCUUAACACAUGCAAGUCGAGGGGCAGCAUUUCAGUUUGCUUGCAAACUGGAGAUGGCGACCGGCGCACGGGUGAGUAACACGUAUCCAACCUGCCGAUAACUCGGGGAUAGCCUUUCGAAAGAAAGAUUAAUACCCGAUGGUAUAAUCAGACCGCAUGGUCUUGUUAUUAAAGAAUUUCGGUUAUCGAUGGGGAUGCGUUCCAUUAGGCAGUUGGUGAGGUAACGGCUCACCAAACCUUCGAUGGAUAGGGGUUCUGAGAGGAAGGUCCCCCACAUUGGAACUGAGACACGGUCCAAACUCCUACGGGAGGCAGCAGUGAGGAAUAUUGGUCAAUGGGCGCAGGCCUGAACCAGCCAAGUAGCGUGAAGGAUGACUGCCCUAUGGGUUGUAAACUUCUUUUAUAUGGGAAUAAAGUUUUCCACGUGUGGAAUUUUGUAUGUACCAUA